rnacentral:rRNA from 1 species
UUAUACAACCUCAACUCAUAUGGGACUACCCCCUGAAUUUAAGCAUAUUAAUUAGGGGAGGAAAAGAAACUAACAAGGAUUUUCUUAGUAGCGGCGAGCGAAAAGAAAUCAGUUCAGCACUAAGUCACUUUGUCUAUAUGGCAAAUGUGAGAUGCAGUGUACGGAACAUCAACAUUUUAGUAUGAGAAGUUAACGAUUUAAGUCCUUCUUAAAUGAGGCCAUUUACCCAUAGAGGGUGCCAGGCCCGUAUAACGUUAAUGAUUACUAGAUGGUGUUUCCAAAGAGUCGUGUUGCUUGAUAGUGCAGCACUAAGUGGUCGGUAAACUCCAUCUAAAACUAAAUAUAACCAUGAGACCGAUAGUAAACAAGUACCGUGAGGGAAAGUUGAAAAGAACUCUGAAUAGAGAGUUAAAUAGUACGUGAAACUGCUUAGAGGUUAAGCCCGAUGAACCUGAAUAUCCGUUAUGGAAAAUUCAUCAUUAGAAUUGUAAUAUUUUAAACAAUAUUAUAAUAAUAGUGUGCAUUUUUUCCAUAUAAGGACAUUGUAAUCUAUUAGCAUAAAUAUUUAUCAUAAAAUUAUGUCUGAUUGCUUAUUUGAAUUAUAUGCUUGCAUUUUAACAUAAAAUAAAAGAUAUAAAUUUGAUAAAGUGCUGAUAGAUUUAUAUGAUUACAGUGCGUUAAUUUUUCGGAAUUAUAUAAUGGCAUAAUUAUCAUUGAUAUUUGUGUUUAUUAUAUGCAUUUGUAUGAUUAACAAUGCGAAAGAUUCAGGAUACCUUCGGGACCCGUCUUGAAACACGGACCAAGGAGUCUAACAUAUGUGCAAGUUAUUGGGAUAUAAACCUAAUAGCGUAAUUAACUUGACUAUUAAUGGGAUUAGUUUUUUAACUAUUUAUAGUUAAUUAACGCAAUCCCGGGGCGCUCUAUAUAGUUAUGUAUAAUAAUAUUUAUAUUAUUUAUGCCUCUAACUGGAACGUACCUUGAGCAUAUAUGCUGUGACCCGAAAGAUGGUGAACU